CCCUACGGGAGGCAGCAGUAGGGAAUCUUCCACAAUGGACGAAAGUCUGAUGGAGCAACGCCGCGUGAGUGAAGAAGGGUUUCGGCUCGUAAAGCUCUGUUGGUAGUGAAGAAAGAUAGAGGUAGUAACUGGCCUUUAUUUGACGGUAAUUACUUAGAAAGUCACGGCUAACUACGUGCCAGCAACCGCGGUAAUACGUAGGUGGCAAGCGUUGUCCUGAUUUAUUGGGCGUAAAGCGAGUGCAGGCGGUUCAAUAAGUCUGAUGUGGAAGCCUUCUGCUCCACCGGAGGAAUGCAUCAGAAAAU
rnacentral:rRNA from 1 species